UACGAAGGGGGCUAGCGUUGUUCGGAAUUACUUGGCGUAAAGCGCGCGUAGGCGGUUUUGCAAGCCAGAGGUGAAAUGCCUGAGCUCAACUUAGGAAUUGCCUUUGGGACUGCGAGGCUUUGAGGACGGGAGAGGUGAGUGGAAUUCCCAGUGUAGAGGUGAAAUUCGUAGAUAUUGGGAAGAACAUCGGUGGCGAAGGCGGCCUUCUGGACAGUGACUGACGCUGAGACGCGAAAGCGUGGGGAGCAAACAGG
rnacentral:rRNA from 1 species